CCUAACCAUUUGGUUAGGCCACACGUCAAUUUAUUAAGGCAUUAUUAAAAUUUAUUUUAAGCUAUAAAAUUCAAAAAUUCCUUGCGAGGAAUUUUGGUGUGCAGGUAAAUCCUGCUUUGUGCAAGCAAGAUUCUUGACAUGAGGUAAUCAUGAGAUAAAUUGGCUAUAAGUU
rnacentral:ncRNA from 1 species